CUCUUGUCUUGCCACAUCAACUGACUGUUGGACAUCUCUCACCCUGGAAAUCUUUCUGCCCUCUCAAGCAACUUAAGCAAAAUAGAACUUACCUGCCCUGUAAAAUCCAUCCCUCUUUCUGGUGACUGAUCUCUGGAUAUCUUCCAACAACCAAUAUGAAGCCUGAAGCCAGACUCUGAGAAUGGCCCUGACCAAGGCCAGGAGCUUCCCUCUCCCUCCUUCUUGUGAAGGACAAGAGCCUCAUCUUGUUCCCACUCAGUGGCAGAGCCAGGCCAGGGAUAGGUGCCAAAGGGUGUCAAAGAAAAAAAAACCCCAACAUCUCUCAUGAAAUACAGCGUGCACAAGCGGACAGGCCCCUGAAGACCCCAGCAAUGUGGCUUGUUCUGAGCCUAGCGAACAGUAACCCAGAAACAUAUGUGAAAAUGUCCUCCAGUGGAAUUGCUUGUCAGCUUCAGGAGGAGGGAAAGAAGAAGGGAGGGAUAGUACAUGAAUCAUGUAACCAUGGGAAAAUGUUCUUUAAAAAAGAAAGAAAAAGUAAAAAAAGAAGAGAAAAUAAAAUGCCUUUGCUGAGAACUAACUGAGUCUACUGUCUGAUUAUUAACAAGGAACAUGCAAAAAGGGGCUUGUAAGCUAUAUGGUUUUAGGAG
rnacentral:lncRNA from 1 species